rnacentral:lncRNA from 1 species
GAGGCGAUGCUUCGCCGGAUUGCUUAUCUUCUUCUUCAUCGUCCUCCUCGUCGUACUCCUGGUGUGGGCAAUCCUCCAGCCCAAGGACCCACGCUUCGUCCUCCAAGACGCCACCAUCUACGCCCUCAACGUCUCCACCCCGAAUAUCCUCACCGUCAACAUCCAAGUCACCAUCACCACCCGCAACCCCAACGACAAGAUCGGCAUCUACUAUGAGAAACUCGACACCUACGCCACCUACCGCGGCCAGCAGAUUACCCUCGCGUACCUCAUCCCCCCCACCUACCAGGGCCACAAGGAGAUCAUCACCUGGUCACCUUUUCUCUCCGGCACGGCCGUACCCGUGGCUCCCUACAACGCCAUUGCACUGAAUCAGGACCAGUCGUAUGGCGCCCUCACCUUGAUCAUCAAGAUUGAUGGACGGGUGAAAUGGAAAGUUGGUUCCUUCACAUCAGGCCGUUAUCAUCUUAACGUCAAGUGUGUGGCGCCUAUUACUUUCGGUGCCAGGAGCAGCGGUGUUGUUAUCGGUAACGCCGUUAAGUACCAGAUGGCUUCCACUUGCAGCGUCAGCGUUUGAGCUUCUUCACGCCGUUAGUAUUAUUUCUCUCCCUUUGUCCUCUUCUUUUAAUUCUGUUUCUCUCCCUUGAGUCUCUAGUCAUACGUCUUUUGAAUUGUACAUUUUGCUAAGAAUAAAAGCGGAAAAAAAUUGGAAAGCAAAAUUGCAAUGUUAUGAAAAUUGUAUAACCGUGCUAUUAUAAGAUUAUGAUUUGUGCAAUAAUUAUUUCCAAGGGGUGGAGGGUGUGCUGUCCCUUUCUAUCAUUUUUCUAUGGUUGCUUCCUUCAAGAAAAUGAAAAUUAAAAGGAUGGGGGCACCUGUUUUAUUUUAGAGUGACUGGUUGAUGUGAUCCAUAAUUUUAUAUGUAUUUUGUCUUUCGUUUUUCGCAAAAUAGAAAGUCCAAUUCAUGAACACACCUAAGUUAAUUAGGUGUUAUCUUCAAAGUGGAUAGCAAGAAAAACGGUCACAUGGGGCUAUUAAAUCUCUUUUUCGCAAUGGGAGGAGAUGGUAAAAGUUUCCAAUAUCUCAAUAUAGUAGAAACCCAAGCCUCACCCAUUCAACACAAGAAUUUUUUUCUUUGUUUUAGAGAGAGAGAGAGAGAGAGAGAGAGAGAGAAUACCCUUAAAAGUAAUGUGAAGGUCGUAGCUGGUGUAUGGGUGUUGCAAUCUUGGGCAAAAGGCAUGAGUAGUGAGUUGUGGGUGUUGGGUCUUCAACAGUUCAACACUCGUAUGGCUUUGGUGGCUGUCCUUUUCGCUUCUCACCUGCCCUACCUACUAAUAAUAAUUGCUUUGUUAGAAAUAGACUUUUUUUUUUCUAAAUGUCUACGAUCGACGCUCCUGCUUUUCUUUCCCCAGUGUCUUUUAGAAGAUGAUGUCGGUCGAAGAUCCCACGUGUAAGAAAAUUUAAGUCCACCCAGUGCAUCAAUCUUCAACAUAAUCUCAUAUUGCCCAUCUAUUUUUGUCUGGGAGAAUCAUGUAUCAUAUAUUCAUAUGCACUUCCAUAUCCAUGCUUAUACCCACCCCACUCACUCCUUUUUGGACCUGUGCUAGCUCGACCAGCAAAACAUUGGGCUUUAAGUGCUUAUAUUAUGGGCUGGGCUAGGCAGUUUCUGCAACUUCAAAGCCCAUGCACUGAAAUAUUGUAUAUAUUAACUUCCACAAGUAAUGAAUUGAUAAAAUCUCUUACUCAAAAGGCCACAGCAACAGCAUUCACCCAUAAUAGAUGAGACAAAAACAAAUUUUGGUUUCAAUUUUGAAAUAUUGUGAAUUUAUUUUAGAUUAAUUUUUUGUCUAAAUUUUUUUAUGAAAUUUAAUAUCUGAAUUUGAUGAGUUAUGAGACAAAAAUAGUGAUCAUUUGUAGUAAAGUGUUGUUUCAAUUUUGGAAUAGUGUGAUUUUAUUUUAGAUUAGUCUCUUAUUCAAAUGAAAGUGAUUUUAAUAUUGUUCAUCUUCUUUUUUAGUUACAAUUUAUGAGAAAAUUUAAUAUCUAAAUUUUCUUGAGAAAAAUGAUAGAAAUUACGUUUUUAAAAUUUUUAUUUUAUUUUUAAGAUAAAAGCUAUCUAAAAUUUUUUUAAAUGAAUUUUAUUUUAUUUUAUGUAAGAAAUUACGUUUUAAGUAUUAUAAUAAAAUUAAAUUUUGAAAAGAUAAAAACGAAAAGAGAAGAAGUGAUACAAGUUAAAAAAAAAAAAAAAAGGAUCUCUAACUUCCUUGUAAUUUUUUUUUAUUAAAAAGAAAACAAAUCUUAAAUAAAUUUGUUAUAUUUUUAUAACCAGACCUACAGGUUGGACCCAAAAGGCCUAAGGUCCAUGAACUGGAGUCAGUUUGGGAGCUUGCAUUAUUAACUCCCAAAGAUCGUCCAGAACUAGGCCAGACUAGGUAUAGUGGAGCACUGCAUGAGCAAGCUGGGCCUCUCUGCCAAAUAUGAAAGGGUACGCCAGACUUCAGCAAUAUGUUUACCCGAUCUCAAGAUUGGCCCAAAAGUAGGCCCAUUCCUACAUAGUCCAUGGUCACGAUAUAUAUAUAUAUAUAUAUAUAUAUAUAUAUAUAUAUAUAUAAAGGCUGUUCCACAUUUGCGUUAAACAACACCGGUCAAGGGCCAAGGCACCAAACAUUGUUGGACCGAUCAAGGGCAGACACGCUUGUAUAGGAGUUUUGACCCAAAAUAGUAUAUUUAAAAAAAAAUAAAUUCAUAAAAUAAACUUGUUUCCAAAAUAAAGCUCGAUCUACAUUUGUGUUACAUAAACUGUCAUAUCAUAAAACCAUAGUCGGUAAUGAUGAUUUUAUUUUUUAAAAACGGUUAGAAACUGUAGUCACCAACCAUAAUUUUAAUUUUAAAUUUAAAGUCGCUACGAUUUUGAAUUCUUUUAAAAUUUGUCAAAAACGUAGUUACCAAUUGCGAUUUUAACUUUAUAUAUAUAAAUUUAAUUUUUUAAAUAAACAUAUUAUAUUAUUUUGAUUUUAAAUAAACUUAUUUCAUUAUUUAAAAAAUAAUAAUAUAUGAGAUUAAAUAAUUGAUAUUUUUAUUUGAUAUAAAUAUAUAUAUAUAUAUAUAUAUAUAUAUUAAUUUUAUUAAAACAAUAGGCACUAUAUUUAAUAUAAAUAUAUUUAGUUAAUUAUAUUUAUUUAAAACAAAUAAAUUGUGAAAGCUUAUUAAAAAAACAAAUAAUAUAAAUUAUUAUAUUAAUUAGUAAUUUUUUAUAUACUAUAUAUAAAUGGCAUAUAAUAUCACACGUAUAUAAGUUCAAUUUAAGUUUAAAAUUUAUAGUUCAUAAUAUUAUAUUGAUAUGAUAAUAAUUUACUUAUAUAUUUAAAUAAAAAUAUGAUAAAUUUUAAAUUUAAAUUAAACUUUUAUAUAUAGGUGAUAUUAUAUACCACUUACAUAUAAUACAUAAAAAAUUAUUAAUUAAUAUAAUAAUUUAUAUAUAUAUUUUUUCUAAAUAGUCUUUCAUAAUUUAUUUAUUUUAAAUAAAUAUAAUUUAUUAUAUUUCAUUUAUAUUAAAUAUAAUGCUAAUUUUUUUAAUAAAAUUAAAAAAAAAAUAUUUUUAUAUCAAAUUAAAAAUAUCAAUUAUUUAAUUUUAUAUAUUAUUAUUAUUUAAAUAAUAAGAUAAAUUUAUUUAAAAUCAAAAUAAUAUAAUAUUUUUAUUUUAAGAAAAUUAAAAUUAAAACGUGGUCCGUGAUUAUGGUUUCUAUUUUAAAAAAAUAAAAUCAUAAUCACCUAUUAUCAGCCAAUUUUAGAUGGUAACCUGAAAGGCCCAUUACCAGGAUUUGUGCGCCAUUGCGACGCGUGUGGCGCGCCUACCGAGUUUGACUGAUAAGCCACGAGAAAUGUUAGGAAUCUUCUAAUUUGUCCUCUACGGUUCAUGGCAUCUUUCAUGUGAGAACGAAAGCUACGAAGUUUCCUGGGCAACUUCCCAUCCACAAAAAUUGCGUUCAAGAUUAUCAUGAACUCCUUCCACCUCACCCACCCCUUUUUUAAUUCGACCCCAUUUUCCAAUUUUACGUGCCAUGACUUUAUCAUACCUUUAAUCAAUCAUAUUUUAAGAAAUGCUGCAUUGUUUUUUCAAGUUAAAUGAUCUCACGUGUAGACAAACUGAUAAAAAGGCAAUUAGAUUACGCAAGACUUAUGCGUUAACUGUUUCAUAAGUAAAAGAAUUUGGCUACCCACCCGGCUUUGACAAUGAUUGGUUUUGCCUAUUUUCUAUCUUUCCUUUUGCAUUCUAAUUUCCGUGAGCUUCCAUGGAUCUUUUUAUCCAACUUCAAAAUGAGAAAUGGGUUUAAUCAUAUAUAGGGUAGAGGAAAAGUGGAAAAACAUUGUAGACUGUAGAGUUGCUCUCAAAGUUUGUUACUUCCUGUGUGUUCCUAUGACUUUCAUUAAAGAAUAGGAUUUACUAUUUGCCCAGUUAAAGUCUCAUGACAUCACUUUGAAUUCUUACCAGAAUUAUUGGAAGAAAAUGUCUUAAUAAAUAAAAAAAUAAAAAAACCUACUAAAAAUAUCUAAUGGAAACAAAGUAAAGCGUUAAAUAAAUCUACUAAAUUAACAUUUGAAUUCUUUUCUAAACAUUAAUCUCAUUCCAAGUGCCUUUAAUUUUAAUACUUUUAAAUAAUUUCCUUUAAUUUAUAUAAUAUAUGUAAUAUUAUCUUUAUAUAAUAUUAAUUACAUUAUCCUUUAAUUCUAAAAAUGCAUUUAAUAAUGAUGGUCCGGAGUUUUUCUAAUUUUUUUAAUACGUAAAACAAAAUUUAUUUUAGAAAUAUUAUAAACAAUUUUUUAGAAUAGUUGUGAAAUGCACUUUAAAAUACAUUGAAUUAUGAAUUUUAAUUAUAUAUUUUAUGAUGCUUGAUGAUUUUAAAAAGAGGCCAACAUUGUUUAUUUUAAAUAUAUCUUCAUGAUAGAGCAAGAUUUUUUCCAUGUGUGACUCUAAGAUCAUAAAAUGAGGUGACAUUGGUAUGACAAUUAGAAAUGUUAAAAAAUACAAAUAAAAAUUUAUAUAUGUAGUUUGGCAUAUCGGGUUGAAUAAAAGGUAAUUACAUGAUGUUAAAAUUAAGUCUAUAUCAAUUACUUAUGUUAAUUAAUUUUAAUAAAAAGUGGAAAUAUUGCAAAUACAAAUAGAAAUGAAUGUAGAAAAUAAGUUUUUUUAAAUAGUUUAAGAAAAUUAAUAUUAUAUAUUUAAUUCAAUGUGAUAAAAUAUUUAGGAAUUAAAAACUGAAAUCAAUGUGGCCGAUAUGAUAAGAGUUUUUUUUUUUUUUUUUUUUUUAAUUUGAAAUGUGAAGAUAUUUUAUAAGAUAUUGAGUUGAUUAAGAAAUAGAAAUAAAUAAUACAAUGGGAUAUUUUGAGAAAAAUAAGUUCAUAACAUUUUAUUCUUAAAAAAUAUGUAAAAAGGAAAUUAAGUAAUAUAUAUAUAUACAAUUUUACUAUUAAUAAACCUCAUCACCAUUGCAUUAAUAUCUACAUUGUUUUUUUUUUAACUCUUCAUUUUUAUUAUGCAUUUAUACUUAAAAAUCAAUAAAAGCAUAUAAAAAAAAUAUUUAAAAUCUAAUAAUAUAUUUUAAAAAAAAUAUAGAAAAUAAUGUUUAGGUAAAUGAGGGAAUAGAAUAAUUAGUAAAUAAAUUUCUUUUCACUUAACUCCUUCCGAUUCUAAACAGAUGCUUAAUUUCUUGGUACUUUUAUAUGUAGGAUAGAAUAUAGAUAUAAAUAUAAAUAUAGAUUAUUUCACCAACCUCUAGUUUGAAAAUAAAUAUUUUUAAUUAAUUUCUCUAUAAAAGUCAAAUAACAUUUUUCCCAUUUCUUAAUAUUUUUCUAAUGGAAAAUAAGCCAAAAGGAUCUGAAAUCAAAAUCAAGUAAUCAAAUAUGCAAAAAGUCUAGUUAGACCGCAAUGCUUACCAUAUUUUAAAAGCUGGUAAUAAUUCUGACAGCCUAAAAUUUCUAGAUUUAGUAAGUUCACUUGAUAAAAAUAAUGUCUGUGCUCAUGACAAGGCAUAUUAAAUCUGGCACACAAUCCCCCCAAGUCUAAUCACAACCAUUGGUAAUGAAUUCAUAAUCUUAUUCGUGUAUGUAUGAUAUUACUUGGAGAGAACAAAUUUGAAAUGCCAAAAUGCGACACAUCAGGCGUGACCAAAUCAGCAGAUUGAUAAGAAAAGGGAAACAAAUUAAUACAUUCAAAAUUUGACACAUUCCGUGUUAGAAGUUACUAGAAAGGAAAACACGUUAUGAACAAAAAUCAUCAUGAAAUUUUGUGGUGUCAGCCGAAAAGGACCGUGUGUAAGGAGUCAACGGAUGUCUGGAAGUAUCCAUGUAGCAUCGCUACCCACGCACAAAGCAACCGCGUUGAUUUUAAGCCUGAUACCGCGGCCUCAGUCGUGUUCUUCCUCAUUAAAGAACUACACCUGCGCCCUGGAGUGCUUGAAAUUAUCCUCACCUCUUCGGCUCUUCACACCAUUCCCGGCUCUAUAUAUAUUCGCAUUCAUCUCUCCUAAUUUCAUCGAAUCCCAUCUACGCAUCUUUCUCUUUUUGUCCACUGCGUACUUGUUUGUCUGUUGUAGUCUUAUACCAUGGCUGACGUUGAGAAACAAACAUUGAAUAAAGGCUACUAUGGCCCCUCAAUUCCUCCAAAAUCACGAUCCUACCACAGCCACGGCCGAGGCAGCGGAUGCGGCUGUUGCUGCUGCCUCCUAGGCUUUUUGCUCAAACUCAUUGUCACCGUCGUUAUCAUCGUAGGGAUUGCAGUCCUCCUCUUCUGGCUCAUAGUCCGUCCCAACAAGGUUAAGUUCCAUGUGGUUGAUGCCUCCCUCACCGAGUUCAACCUUACCAGCGACAACAUCCUUCAGUAUAACCUUACCGUCAAUAUGACCGUCCGCAACCCCAACAAGCGUAUUGGUAUAUACUUUGAUCGCAUCGAAGCCAAGGCGUACUAUGAGGACGCCUUGUUCGAUUCUGUUGAGUUGGAACGAUAUUACCAGGGCCACAAGUCAACUCAUACCCUGAAUCCAGAGUUUACUGGGGAGAACUCUGUAUCGCUUGGAGCAUCCGAGCUUUCGAAUUUCAAUUCGGAGAAGGCUUCAGGAACUUACAGUAUUGAUGUGAAGCUGCGUCUUCGGAUCAGGUUCAAGUUGGGAAUAUUGAAGAUUGGUACGUUCAAGCCCAAGGUUACUUGUGAUUUGAAGGUUCCUUUGGAUUCUGAUGGGACAAGCAGUGGUACUUUCCAAACCACCAAGUGCGACGUUAAUUUCUGAUCAUCUGAUUCAGGCUCCUGCUCGCCUUCCUGGCUCUUUGAUCCACUUCGUUGUUGAUUUCUUUGAUUUGCAUAUUAUUCUUUUGUUUGUGGGUACACAUAGCAUCACAUAUCGUUUUCUUUCCAUUUCCCUCCCUUUUGUAGGGAUGGUUUAGACGUGAUCAUGUUGGUUUCUUCUUGUUCAUAGAUUAUGCCAUUUUUGGUUAUGUAUAUGUUAUGUUAUAUUUAUGAGUUUCGUUAUAAUUUUUAUUUUUUUCGGUUAAUCUUCGCUGCAUUUUUCAAUUUGGUAUACACGCUGGGGCAAAUUUUAAUUAUUUGGUGAACUGCUUCUUUGGUUCGUCGGUGAAAUAUAAGUGGACGAAUUUAUUAAUAAAACCUGACUUUGUUCUUAUACGUUACAUGGAGAACGAUGCCAAGUGCUCCUACGAUCAACUCGAACGAAUGAUGCGUGACUGAUUCAAUGUGACCACGCGUGGGCAUUGUGUCGGUGAAAUGCAACAAUCUAUAAUCUAUUCAGAUAAGAAUGCUGGGGGGCCAUAGAAGGGUCUCGCAGAUGACAUCUAAUCAAGCCUCCUGCUUUGUCCAAAAAAUUUAACAUUUAUAAUUGAAAAAGGAAAUUUAUGUAAAAGAUUUCAAGUUUAGAGUUUAAAAUUUACGUAAAAGAUAUUAUUUUCCUUUAAUUAUAUUUUUAAAUGCUAAAAGAAGUUUUGAAGCUUUAAUCAUCUUUUUCGAUUAUUCAAGGGGGUUUUUCCUUAUUUGUAAUUUUAAAUAAUUUAUAUAAUUAUUAAUUAUUGUAAAGCUUACGUUUUCAUAUUAUUUCUCAUUAUUAAACACUAUUUUCUCUAGAUUAUAUUUUUAAAGUUGAAAAUUGAUAUUGGUUAAAAGAAGUUUUUGAAUAUUCGAUGUUAUUUAUUUUUAUAAAAAUUUUAAAUAAUUUAUUAUGUAUUAUUAUAUAAUAUCAUGGGUUGUUGGUUUAGAAAACCACUGUACAUUUCAAAUUUGAGAACUUUGUUGUCGUUUUUCAUUUUUUCGUACGUUUCACACGUGCGCUUCAGAUUCCAGAACAUGGACUUAUUUUUUAUUUUUAAAACCAAAAAUUUCUAUAUAAAAAAUAUAAACUUAGUUAAUUUUCUAUUUUCAUUUUUAUAUUAUAUAACAGCGGGUGGGAGUGGAAAUGUGAUUUGACUUGCACAGCCAGACUAAGGAAAAAAAAAAGGUUCCAAGAAAAAUCUGGCUUCAUAUGGGAAACUUAGGUUUUAGGUUAUCAAUAUCAAAACAAUAGUAUAUCAUACCCCAGGUUUGCCAAUUUCAAGUUUACGAUGCUAACCUCAAAAAUAUUUUGAGUCUCAUGCACUUUGGACUGAGUUGUUUUUUAAUUCCCAAAAUGCCCCCCUCCUUCGAUCAAGUCAACCUCCACAAAGUUUAAAAAAAAAAUAAAAGAUUAAAAAUAAAAAACAACUUAAUAGCAGAAACCUUCCUUCUUCGUUUAUUUCUAUAUGUAAACCCUCAGUUCACUUUUCCUUCUUAUCUUCUUUAUUUCCUCAUUCCUUUAUACACAUCUAACUAGUAUAAACCAUAACGGAAAACCAUAGUCAUUUUCUUCAUUUUUCCUCCUAGUGUGUGAUAUGGUAGAAGUUGUGCAUUCUUGGGUGCCUCUGCCUACCACCACCGCCACCCACCACCAUCUCCUCACAUCUCAUCCUUUUCACCUCUCUCACUCGACUUCCUCUUUCUUUAUGCCUCUAUCAUUCUCAUCCCAGGUACUCUCUCUCACUCUUUGUUUUUAUAUGUAUAUGAUUUGAACGAUAGUGAUCGAGGGAUUUUUCUUUUAAAUUUUUUAUUGCUUGAGAAUGAUUUCAUAAUUUAUUGUAAUUCUAAGGCUUUCUUAUUGAUUUUUGUUUUUUUUCCAUGCCAACAUGCUUCAACUUGAUUGGGCUUAUCUAAAAUUUUUAGCUUUCAUGUGCUCAAUUGCUGAGAAAUUUGUUGAAAUUGAAAGGAAAUAUAAAGUUUUGACAUUUUUAGGGAUUGAGUUGGGUGAAAGUGAAUGACUGAGUUUAUCUUUGUCGAAUAGUUGUCCAUACAUCACUAAACUAAUAUUUUGAUCGGAAUCAUUGAGCUAAUUGUUAUUGUGUUAAUUAAAUGAAGGAUUAAGCUAUUUUCCAAAUGUUAAGCUUGUAGGAAAAUUUUACAUCUUGUCUUUGUUUUUUUCUUUUUUGUCUUAUGUGAUGCUUUGUCAAGAGGAUAUUUUAGGGAAAUGAUUUUCUACAAGUGAAUGAGAAUCAAUGGAAAAUACACUUUUCACUUAUCUAAUCAAUCAAAUAUAACUUAAAGGUUUAGAUUUUAUUUUAUUUUCUAUUCUUUUCCUUGGUAUCUUAGCAAAUAAAUAGAGAAUUAGGAAGAUUCUUUUGAUAGAUUUGUUUUUCCCAUGACUAAGGUGUGGUUUGAUGCACUUCCGAUUUUUCAUUUUUAAAAUAUAGAAUAAUAGCAACUUUAUAUAAAGUUUAGGAACUCUAAUACAAAAUAAAUAAAUAAAUAAUUUAUUUUAUAUUUUAGGUUCCUUAAACUGAUUAUUUGUUUUAAUGCUUCUUAAUCUAAAUUGUUGUUCCUGCAUUUUAAAUAAGAAAGGUAUACAAGUUGAUUUUUUUUUAAUGAAAUUAAGAUUUGAAAUAGAUUAAUGUUGCAGUUACCAAAAAAUUGAGCAUUACAUGUCCAAUCAUGGUCCUUAUUUUGUGCAUGCAUUCCCCUAAAGGAGAAAUUUCUUUCACUUACACCUUUCAAGUUAGCAAAUAGAUUGUCAUUGCUUAAGCAAGGAACAAAUGGAGUUGCCUUCUCCAAUCACCGGGGUUUUUUUCUAUUGUGGAUUGAGUUCCUUUUCCCAAAUUCUUAUUAUUGAUAAUGGUAAUGAAGUUUAUAACUUGUAGAAAAUAAGUAGAGUUAUUCAGUGCUCUUCUUUACCAACGUGUCUUGCUAGGUCCUUCUAGUUGCAUGUUUUUUAAUGCAUAUUUUGUUCUUAAAACUGAAAACAAAAGAACAAUAUUAUGGUACAGUUAAGUUUUUGGAAACCAAAAAUGUUGAAGGCUAGUAAAAUAAAAAUAGGGACAAGUUCGCUAGAAUCUGACCAAAGGCAACAUCUUUCUAUGUGCUUUGACAAACUUAUGACAAACAUAAAUCUAAACUUGGACUCAAAAAACAGGGACAAGUUCGCUAGAAUCUGACCAAAUUCAAGAACGAAUUCUGCAACAAAUAAAUUGUGACAUCUUUCAUACAACAACAACAAUUUUAUGCUAGCAAGAGGCAUUGUUCAUUAUUGAAGUGCUUAAAACAACCUAGUUUUGAACAGACUGCCUCCACUGAGUCCAAUUUAGUUGCAAUGGGAAGAACAUUCAUAAGAGUUCGCAAACAGAAAUUGGAAAAAUUCUAAGGGGUAGAUAUGUUUUCAAAUUUUAAAGAAAAAUACAACUAGAUUAUGUUAAUUUACAUUAUCUACUAAGAAGAUAUGUAUGAAGAAUUUUUAAUACAUUAAAAAAAAUAAAAUUGAUAGAUAAAAUAAACUUGUCAUGAGAAUCCUCAUGCUCCUACAACUUUGAAGCAAAUUUGAACAUUUUUUUUUCACAAAUUAAGUAACUAAGAUUCACAAAUGAAGUUUUGAAAGUUCACAUAGGUAGUACCCAAGUUUCACUAAGGUAGUACCCAAGUUUCACUAAGGUAGUACCUAAGGUUAAGUAAGCUAGUACCUAAGGUUCCUAAAAUACUAAGAUGAUGUCCAAUAAGGUAAAAACAUCUUUUUUAAUGUCCAUUAUGGGGGUCUUAAUUGGCCUAAUGGAGUCCAAUAUAGUAGGGCCCCUCUGCUUGUGAGAGGGAAUCCAAUCACAGUUGUUCAAUAUGCUAAUUAGAAUUUGAAAGGGGCACAUCGGUUUUUAAAACCUAGGCUUUUGAAAAGCAAAACCUGGGCCUAAAUGGUUUGUCUAGACUAAAACUAGACCAUUUUAGUUGGAUCCUGUCUUAAUUACUCACAACCACACCAUAUAGUUGGUAAAAGAUACAUGUUUCCAUGUUGAUCCAGCCCUGAAAAAAAUAUUUCCUUCAAUUUUAUUCAAGAAAUAAAGUACUAGGAAUUUUCAGUAAUACAUGCAACAAUUAUUCUUCAAGAUGAAACUUGCCUUUAUUGUUGUGAAAUAGACAACUAAACAAACCAUUGGUAUAUAUAUAUAUAUAUAUAUACCAAUGGAAAAAAAAUCUCCUCAGAAUAAAAGCUUACUCCAUACAUACACUCUUUAUACAGGACAAGCAUGUACAUGCUCAACUCACUUCACUCUUACAAAAAUUUCAGUACUGCUUCUUUCCAAUAUAGAAAAAUGUGAUUCAAGAAAAUACCUGCUCAAAGCUUAAAAAAUAUAAAGUCAUAGAGAAGAAAAAAAAUAAACCAAAUUCUUGACAAAAUUAUUGACUUUUACUUGUCCAAAAAUUCUACCAUUCCUUGUCUUCCAAAUUAUCCAAAUCAAAGUGAGGCUCACCAAUUACCAAAUAAUUCUAUCUUUAGGGAGUCUCCCAAAUUCCUUAAAAAAGAUAGUCAUCCUAUUUGUCAAAAUUCUGAGAAGCCUACCCUAUCACAGCUAUGCAAACAACUUCUACCAAAGCCCUAAAGAAAAUAGGCAAUGAAGAAAGUUAUAACCAAUUGAUUCACCAUGCCACAAGCACAUAAAACAUAAUUUGAACAUAAAACUUUAUAGGGCUUGCUCACCUAUAGCUUCUUGUUGGUAUUGCUUAUUUGCCACUGACCAUACAAAAGGCUUUUGCUUUAGGUGGGGAUGUAGAUUUCCAAAUGAAACUAGCUGGAAAAAAAAAAAAAAAAACGAGUUCAAGGUUUCAAAAAAGAGCUAAGAAAAAUGAACCGUUAGAAAACAAGCUUGAAGAGACCAAAAACUAAACCUUAAGAAAGGUGAACCUAGUGGCCAAUGAUAUUAAUCACAUAAUCUCAAAUGUGCCAUACAUCAUAUAUCAUUGAAUUUUACAAAGCAAGAUUACAAAUAAUUAACAAAAUGCAAAAGGAUGUAAGUCUUUAAAGCAAACUGGAGCAACAAUUAUAACAUGCUAAGAGAAUAACAGAAAAAAAUAGAUGAACUUUGAUAACUUAACGUGUACUUUUUCGUAAGAUUUGGAAGUCACAGGUUUGACUCUUGGACAUAUAUACCAUGAAGAGUACCAGUAUCAUGAAACACAAAUUUUCUCAUUGUUAAUCUAAAACAGAAGCAACUACAUCAAAAAUUCAAUAGAAGUUAAAAAGUUCUCAAUAUAUAUACCUAAGAUUUAUUGUGACUAUAAUAUAUAUAUAUAUGCAUGCACAUCUAUUUCCUUGUAUGGAAGACAUGCUUCUAUUAAUUCAUGGAUGACAUAUCCAAAGACAGACUCUUUUUAUUAGCCAAAUCUAUGAUCUUAAAAUUCAAGGUCUAGAAUAACCUAGCUAGUAGACAAAUGGCCACUCUAAUACCUAAACAACGUAAUGAUAAAGUGAAGGAAAUGGUUUGCAUAGAGCAAAGAAGGUUUUCUCAUCCAGUGAAACAAUAGGAUUGUGUAUUGUGAGGCUUAAGCUUCUUAUUCAUAAUUAUUUAAAUAAAUAGACUCACAGGUAGCAAUCAUAAGAGUCGAAUGUGUUUGCUUUGCUAAUCAUUUCACAAAUGCAAAAGCUAAACAUCUUAUUCAAAAUCACAUGCAUCAGGUUAUUGUUAUAUUUAUGGAAAUGACUAAUGAGUAGUAAAAGCACCCAUCUCCAAGUGCUCAAGGUGCUUUCACCUUUACUAGGUAAAGUAGAAGAGAAAAGCGCUCAACAUGUGAGAGUAUAGAAAGACCCAACAAAAAAUAAAAAUGAAAAACACAAGUUGAAGAUCAGCCAAUAAACACAACUUUUUUUAGAGCUACUAAAUUUUGACCAUUUGAUUAUAAAAAAAGAUAUGAAUUAUAUACCAGCUAUGUGGGCAACUUAGAAAUUUUUGAUAUAAUGAAAAUGGUAUAGAUAGACUCCAUGUGAACAAGAAAUUGUAGCAUUAUUCUGACAAUAAUGAAAAUUCCUUCUAACUCCAGUUUCCAUCUUAUUUAUGAUUGCCAAGCAAAUGUGGGAAAAUAAAAGUAAAUAAAAAACUCUGAAUCUUAGAACUUUUUUUUUCCAUAGAAAUAUUUAGAAUGAAAAUUUUCCACUCAACUUGACCAAAUUCAAGUAUUUAUUCAUAAAAACUAUAUAAUUGGAAAUUUAUUUUCCUCAAAUUUUGAUAGGAAUCGCAAUAAAAAGAAGAAUUUCUCAACAAAAAUUUAUAAAAAAAGCUGUAAAAUUGAAAUUUUAUUUUCCUUAAAUUUCAAUAGAAAUAGCAAUAUAAAAAAAGAAUUUCUUAACAAAAAUAUAUAGAAAAAUACAUAAAAAGACGACAUUCUCUAAAACAUACAUACAUAUAUGUGCUAAAAUAGACAUGAACAUAGGAAACCUAACCUUAAUCAAACACCAAAAUCUUGUGAUUUUGACAUCCAAAUCCUAAUACCAAAACCUUAAUUCUAAACCUCAGUAUUAUGAUUUCCACAACAAUGGAAGAAAAAUAAACAUACAAACCCCUCCUCCCACCUAAAAAAAAAACUUAACAAAAAACAACACAAAUAGCUUGAAGAAUUGAAGAAAACAAGAAACCCAAAUGGGAACCCCAGAUUUGGACAUGAACAUUGUUGAUAGUGCUAAAAGACAAAAGACAACAAAAUCAUACCCGUAGACAAACAAAGAAAAAUAAAAAACAAAAAAGGCAGAGUCAGAUAUCCUUCAACGAGAAUGAUUAAAUUGAAAAUGUUGGCAGUGCUACUGCUCCAUCACAAUUCCGAGAUAGAGAGGACGGGGGAAGAUGGAAAUGAAAGAGUUUGGAAAGUGUAAUGUGACUGAAACACAUGUAAAGAAGUCGAUAAUGAUGGGUAUCCCAUGCCCUCCAAUCUGUGUCGUCCAUUUAUGACAAGAAGAUGUUAGGGUUAGGUUUUACCAUAUUAUUGGGAUUUCAGGAAUAUUUGAUAAAAUAAGAGGUCCGUGUUUUUACGAGAUUUGAUUUUUUCAUAUUCAGAUCAACACGAGGAAAGUAUUAGAGUUUUUGGAUUUUUGGGUUUCAAGAGGGAGAGAAGCAUAUAAAGGAUGAAGUUUUCUAUUCAAUCUUAGCGUCGAUCAGGGCAGAGAGAAAAAUGUAGACUGUUUUUUAGUUUUUAGUUUUUUAAUCUAUGUGGAAGAUGGGCCGGAGGAAAGAGGAGGGCAAUUUGGAUAUAAAAUAACAACUAGGCUCAAAGUGCAGCUCAAAGCGCAUGAAACUCAAAUUAUUUUUGGGAUUAGAAUAAUUAUAUUGAAAAAUAAAAAGUUGGGUUUCCAAUUUCCUAUAUUUUUCAUAUUAGCAAUCCAUAACACAAGUUUCCGGGGAAGAAGCUGUGGCGUGCGGACAGGAGGAUAGAAAACUUGCAAUGUGGGACCACAGCACGUCAACCUUAAUAACUUCUUGGACCCCACUUGUCCCCUUCAUUUGAUUCAUUCCUUCUGCAAUUUUUGUCCUUGACAUGAUCGUUUUCCAUGGCCUAACCAUUUAGCUUUGUGAGAAAACCUGAUCUUCUUUGCUAAUAUUGUUUAUCUUCUUUGGCUACUUUAAUGGUAAAGUUCAAAAAUAAAAUAAUAAUAAAGGCACAUUGGAAACCAAUUGUAAUGAUCAAUGUUACACAGCAUACUGCAAAAAUUGAAAUAGGAUAGGCACUUUAGAAUGACUAAAUCGAAGAGAGUGAAAGCAAUAAGUAGGCUACAACUAUAAGCAUUCAUUGGGGGUCAGAUCAGAACAUAUGUGCCAUUUACCAAUUAGGCCAUCGGUGGAAAGCGUUAAAACCAAUUCCACGUGUCCUGACCUUAAUACAACACCCUUAAACCAACGGCCAUGAAAUAUUUACCAGUCGGGUUGAGGUUUAGUGGUAAAUGUGGCCAACAGCUAACGUUAAAAGCACAUUUUGCGUGACAGAUAAGGCAAACCGGUCAGCUAUCACAUCACCAACUCAAAAUACAUACGAAAACACACUAAUUAGUAAUUACGUAAUUACGACCGAGGAUUCACGAUUCAUCCGCCGGGUUGACUCCCGGCGAAAUUUUAGUCGCUGUGGACCUCCAAGCUCACAAAUGAAAACUUGCUACCGCUGGAAACAUCACUCUCCGAGCACUCUUUUUCCAGCCCUUUUAUUGCUAAAACGAGAUUUCCGAUUUCCACAUUUUCUGGUGAGGUCGUCCCAUUUCCGACGUCUCGGGUUGGAGAAGGGGAGGGAGUGAAGUAAGGUGGAGAAGCACAAGGCGUCGAAAACGGUGUCACUUCGUCCACACCAACGGCCACAGUCAACUCUGGCAAUUCAUCAGCAACCCUUAAACAUUCCCCCAGUGAUACACUUUUUGUCUCCGCAGACAAUGAUUUGUCAGUUGCUUGUGGCUCCAUUUCUUCCCUCUCCUCCUCCUUGAUGGUGAACAAAACCCUUGAAGAACCAUACAAUCCCUGCCAUUUAAGGACGUCAACGUCGUUGAUCUCCUCCGACGGCACUCUACCGGGCCUGGUAGCAGGAUGGGCGUGGGGAUCGGCGUGGGGUUCGAUGCGGGACUGGCGUUUCCAGCAGAAAAAGUAGAGGAGCUCCUUGGAGGGGAUGGAGAAAGGGUCUCCUGGAAACUCAGGGUGGCCGGCGGUGGAGUUCUGACGCCUGAAUCGUUUCCGGUACCAGUAAACGUGGAAGAGUUGGGUGCCUAUGACAAGGAGGAAGACUGCAAACACCACGAUGAGAACGAUGCAUAACUUGCUCAGACCGAUCAUGUUUCUCCAACACUCUCUGUUGAGUCUUCCUCCUCAGCGUUUUGUCUCUUUUAAGAAACUGAGACACUUGCGUCCUGUAGCAGGUAGCCGGUAACCUCAACGGAUUAAUGCUGACGUGUAUAUUCGACAAAUUUAUCAUUAGAAAAUUCUGUGGGGAAGAGUAAAAAUGACGUGUGGGAUGGAGUAGUGAUGACGUGGCAUCGAUGUCUGGAUCGUUGACUUGGGUGGGCCCAAAAAAAAUGGCGUAAUCAUCUGGGGUGCUGCCCAAAUACCAUUGGAUGGUGGACUAGGAGCUUGAACCAAGGCCCAUUUUAACGAUGCUGGGAUAUUGCAAAUAAAUUGGCCCAUUCACAUGGCUUGUAAUUCUCAAGCCCCCUCAACAAGUCGAUAGUUUUCUAGAGUUCUGAACCUCCGCGGGACUAGGAUCCAGGUGUCAUAGGCGGGAGCUUUUGAUCAUUAUUAUUUCGCAUUUUGCUAUAAUAUACAGCGCCAAGGAGAGCCCAGGUAGAUCACAGGCUUGGGCAGGCCUAAUCAUAGGCCAAAAUCAAGCUCAAGGUUAAAUUCAAUGAAACAGAGAGACUAGAUUAAAUUCAACGAACCAAUCUAAGCCCAUUUUCUAGAGCAGUGUGAGUCUUGUUCAGGCAAGAGGAGGCCUUGAGGUUAUUUCAAUGCCAAAUGUGACUGAAAACUGGGCCAUUUGAGAUCCAUCGCCUUCCACCAUGGGCAUCCUUGUUGUCACGGCCCAGAUGCAGUAUCGAGAAGCAAUAGGUAGCCAAUUUGAAGGAAAAGAUUAGGACCAGGGCUGAAGAGGUCUCGGGCCCAUACCAUAUUGCUGCUAAACUUAGAUGAUUUAAAGCCCUUUUUGAUAGCUAUUUUCGAAAACAAUAUUUUAUUAUCUAAAAUAAAAGAACAGGAAACACAUUUAAUAAUAAAAAAAUAGAAAAUAAUUUUUUCUUCUUAAACAUAGAAAAUGUGAUGUUUUCAAAAGAACCAUUCUUUUAAUGGUUUUUAAUUGUUUUCAUAUGAAAUUUAUUUUUAAAAAUAUAGAAAUUAGGUUAAAAACAUGUCAAGUUUUCAAACUGAUUUUUAUUUUGCAAAACAUUAAAGAAUAAUUUUCGAAAAUUAUUUCAAAAAACUGUUUUUGAAAGCACUUAAAAUAGAGCGGUCUGGUGGCAUACGGGGCAGGGCAAGUGAAAAGGAAUUCAAGACAAAUAGUGGGCUGGUCCAAAGUAUUGAUUGGGCCGGAGGACUGAUAGCCCUACCCAUGAAAAGCAAUAGCUGAGAGAGUAAACGUUAAAAAUCUAAAACUGAGCUGGCACACUGUUACGUGAAAGCGUGAUAUCUUCUCCAAUCAUGUAAAGUUGAGAGGAAGAUCCAAUGAUUUAGACAGCAGAAAUUAUUUGGAGAAGCAUCAGUGUAAUGGGUGUUUUUCCAUGUUGGGCUUCACCACAACCGUGAUGCAAAGACCAUUAUGGUUUUUGGUGAUCUCAAUGCUGUGUUUCAUGGCAUCAUUGGAAUCACAGAUACCCAAAACCGUGAGGGAGCAUGGAAGCACAAAGUGCUAAAAUCAAACAGAAUAGAGCACCCUUUUGCUUUUAGAAUCUUUUAUUUCCGGAAAGGUUUUUCGCCAUACAAUUUUCAUACUCUUCAUUUUGACACGGCAUAGUUUUUCUUGGUCACUAACGUCUAAAUCUAUUAAAUCAUAUUAUAUGAAGUGUCUCGGGGCAAUGGAACGAUAGUCUGAGACAAUAUUUGAUGAGGGCUUCAUCACGGCAGGGGGCUAGAAAGUAACAUGGCAACCAAAAGUCUCUGAUUUAAAAUGCUUAGGAAAAAAGUAACUAGAAUAAGUUGCAACAUGCAAUUGGAAUGGCACUAAAGGUUGGGGUCCUCCCAGUUGGUGCGCGGAAUGGAAAUAAUUUCCAAAUAACGGGUUGGGAACUAGGUUAUGAUUAGUGAUUGAAGAGCAGAAGCAGAAAAAAAAAAAAAAAGAGGCCAUCAAGUAAAUGAUUGCCAGAGUGUAGAAAAGCAGACACACGCAAUAUGCUUUAAGAAAACGACCCAACAAUCAUGAAAAGCAGCAUUAUUUCCAAAAUCUAAUCAUCGCCCACAUCUUGGUUUGGCGUGUGCUCUAGACUCUUUUUGACCGGCUGCUACACUUGGAAAGAAGACCAGACCACCAUAAACACACAGACCAACAUGGUGUGGUACCUCUCCCAAUCUCUUUUCCCCAAAACUGAAGCAGCAGCACAUGAAGUACUCUCUCCUUGGAUCCCUCAAUCAUCACUUUCAAAUGAUAAACCCAUAAAAACUAUACUCAGAAUGUGGGUGUGUGAGAGAGGGUGGCUCUGGGGACUUUCAGAUCCCAGAUUUCCCUUAUUUUCAUGCAAAAUUCACUCGUAAGGGAAAGGAAAAAAAAGGAAGGAAUCGAUGGUGACCUUAUGGAAAAGAGCCAUUUGUUAGCUCCCUUUUCUUAAAGUCUGCAAAAGCCCAAGGUGUGGAAACUUUGUCUCCAUGCUUGUGUUGUCUUUUGCAGAUGCCAACAAUUCUUCUUUUCUGUGUGGGUCUCCUAAGAGAGCUCUUUGGAGUUUGAGGGGCUUCUCACCUUGUCUUGUUUGUUCCAGACUUGGAAUUCGGUGCAACAAGUAAAGUUAGAUGAAAUCUAAUUCCUACAAUCUUGUCUGCUUAUCAUUUUAAUUUUCUUGGCUAGUCUCCCUUCUGUUAUCACCAACUAAAACAUGUAUUUCUUAUCUUCUCAACAGCCAAAUGCAUCAUUCAGGCAAUCUAGCUAGCUACAAAAAAUUAAUAUUGCCUCACCAUCAUGCAUGCAGACUAACCAUAUCAAUAUUCUCAUUACUGCAUAACCGGUCCCUACUACAUACCAUACAUUAAGUGGAGUUGGGAAAUCAAUGUCAAGCUUGCUUAAAAGCUAAAAGACUGUUAUUACAUACACCACUUAAAGCAUUACUUCAAUGCUUCCAACCAUUUUCGUUACAAUUAAUCAUGUCAUUUGUUUAAAAUAUAUGAAGGCUCAACUGGUUUAAUUCAGAUGCUUCUUUCUUGUACUAUCGUAGUUAUAUAGCUUAGUUUUGGUAGAUUUUUCUCCUCUAUCCGAUAUUGGAAGAGUGUUUCAAGUACCCUAACAUUAAACACCUAAUUCCAUAUAAUAUGCAGGUCUAGAAGAAGAGAGAACUAAUCCACCCUUACUCGACUUUCUCAACUAAACCACCGAGAAGAUCUCCAACCUAACGGGUCUAAUGCGUGUCUUUAUAUAUGUAUGUGUAUAUAUAUAUAUAUAUAUAUAUAGAGAGAGAGAGAGAGAGAGAAUUUCAUUGAGCUGUUGGAGACAUGGUCGACCCCAUGAACUGGGCUUAGUUGGCCCAAGUCAAUGCUAGCUGUGAACCCACUUGAUCAGUCAGUGAAAUCAAGUUACCUUGUAAGGAAAAUCAUACAAGAAUUUUAAGUGCUUAAUUUAGAUCCAGAUCAUGCUAGCUCUAUAUUUGAUUGGCCAUGUUUGAAUCACAUCACAUUCAUUAGUUCUAUCAUUCCUCAAAGCAAUCUUGAAAGGAAAUCUGAAACUUUAUAAAGAAAGAAAAGGCAAUAGAACAAAUAAAGACGCACCAUUAUUUGAAGAGGGAAAAGCAGAUAAAAUCCAUAUCUUGACAAAGAUAUAUGAUUAGAGUUCCAAAAGUUAUUUAGGUAUUCAUUUUAUGGUGGUUAGAAAAGGUUUCCAAAGCAAAAGAUACAAUGGGCUUAAAGGAAAGGAAAGGGUGGUAGAAGCUCAUUGGCUCCCACAAAGUGAAGAGGCUUGUUGCCUUAAUGAGUAUGUCUCUUAUCCCACAAUGCUUAUGGUUCAAGUUUUUUUUCCUUUUCGUCCAUGGGUCUUCCACUAGUGCCUUUGAUGACGUCCCACACCCUUUAUCAUCCCCUUAUUAGGACAUUGCUCGAGCGCUUGUCUUGGAGCGACAAGGGCUCCACCAAUUGACCCAUCAUUUGAACACCCAAUAUUAUCCACUUUCCUUUAUAACCUCGCUUGAGGUAAAUAUUCAAAACAUAUAUAAGACAGGCCUCCCAUCCCACCUUUCACAAUACAUAGACCCAUCCAAUUGCUCAAAACCUAGUAUGACCUUGGGAUUAGCCGCUUAGGCUUAGACCUCAUGGAAAAUAUUCUCCCAUGUCCACAUUUCCGCUGAGGUGGUAGCAUCGAUCUCUAGAAAUUGCUUCCCUAUCUUUUAUUAAGGACUUGACUUUUAAUCACGUUGGUGUCACGACUUUGAUAUAAUAACAAUACACGAUAAAUAAGAUAGGAAGAAUAGAAAUACUCAAAACUUUGUUAUUUUGAUAAGAUAUCCAAAGACCCAAUUUUCUUGUGCUACCUUUUGAGGACAAGUCAUCUUCUCUAUUUAAAAUUUUUUUAACUUUCACCUAAGUCUUUACUUUUCCUCUUGAUACUUUAUAAAAUUUCAAUGGUGGCUAGACUUUGAAAAUAUAUUAUACGUAAUAUAAUUAAAUUAAGCUGCUAGUAAAGGCUAAUAUAUAUAUAUAUAUUGUAUUUGUAUUACCACCAGCAGACUUGGAAAAUUUAACUCUUCUUUCAAAAUAGUUCACAUUCACAUCAAAUAUGAACAUGAAUGCAACAAGUUUAACUUUUAAGAAUUGAACUUGAUGUGGAAGAGAAAAUGAAUUCUUAGUGGAAACAAAAAAAAGGAAAAAAAAAGAAAAAGAAAGGGAAAACAGGAGUCUGUUAUUACUAGAAUGAGGUAGGAAAAGUAAGCUUAAUUUAUGUCUUCUAUGUAAACAAAUAUUACGUUGCCACCUUAUUCAAAAGGAAAAUUCAAGAUCUAGUGGGAAGAAGGUUAAAAAUUGAAAAAAGAAGAAAAGCAGUCUAAGAUGGAGGCUUCUUCCUUUUUAGAGAGAGAUUGGAAAAGGGGUAAAAGGGAUGACCCAAAAGUAGAAGAGAAUAUAAUACUAGUAAGUAGUAAGCUGAUUUUAUAAGUUGAAAAAAAGAAAAACCCCACCACUGUCCUUCACAGAAUGCAUUAAUUCCCGAAACCCCUAAUCUUUUGAAAAGCCACAAGCGACAAAUUCCCUACUUAUGCUUAGGGUUUUAAUUUAAAGUUGCCAAGAUAAUGAUCUUUUUGUGAUUCUAAAGUAACAACAUCUUUAAGGUUUAAAGAAGAGAUGCUUAUCUAUGUGUUUUUUUUUUCCCUGAAUGUGUUUUAGCUUUUACUUUUUUGAUUUAUUUGUUUUUGAAAACUUAUACCACAACUUUCCAAUGCUUUCCAAAGAUGAGAAUGUUGGGUUUACGAAAAUCAAAGAAAGAAAAGUUAUUCUUUUGCAAAACGCAUCACAAAGCAUAAAAAGUAGUGCUCUUUUGAUAUUUCUUAGGGAAGAUUUGCUUUUCCCUUCUAAAGUGGAAAAGUUGCCUCUCCUUUGCACAACCCUUACGUUAUGGAUCAUACCUUAAUCUUACUUUGUGCAUUCCCAACAUUCCUUUACAUUUCAUACAACUUGUAUAAUUAAUGCACAAUCAUUUUCCUUUUUAAUUGCACUCUCUCUCUCUCUCUCUCCCCCUCUCCCCCUUAACCUUAAUUAAAUCUUUAAUACAGUCUCCAAAGACCCUUAUUGCCAGUUCUCGCGAAUUAACUUAAUUAAAGAGAAUUAUUGUGGGCAAAAAAGCUAGUACUUGGUUAACCAACCAUGACAAUUGAAAAUAAUGAAGAAAAAUGAAUGAGACAGCUGGAAACUCAAUACCCAUAAGUUACUUUGUGUGAGACAAAAGGCCAAAUGGAAUUUGAAGAAAGUCGAAAGUAUGUUCAGCAUUAAUACCACCGCUUUAUUCUUCAUGUUACUAUUUGCUCAGCCUGAUUUCGAGCUGUUAGAUGCUCCGGACAUGAUACUUUUAUGUGACGACGAGUACAUGAAGCAUUUAUUUUAAGCCGACCAUUUUCAAUGGCUUCAGCUGCUAUUAUUUAAUGCCACAUGAAUCUUAGUUUCUGACAUCCUCCCAAACCCAAUCAUGGUAUAUAACUGUAAUGCAUGUAUAGAGAUUUGUUAUUUGAUACACUCUGAAUAAUGGGAACUCAGGUUUUACAGGCAGGUAAUGAUACACUUUGGCAUUUUUUUUAAUCGUGAGACCUAAUUUUGGAUUUUAUUUUUUUCUCUCCAGAAACAAAUAUCUUAAGAAUAUUGAACACCAAUAAAACAAAUUAAAAAUACAAUUAAAACUAAAAUACUGAAAAAUUAAAUACAAUUAAAAUAAAAAACUUAAAUUUUUUAAAAAUAAAAUGUUAACUUUUAUUCAUUUCCUAUUCUUGAUAUUUAUAUUUUUAAUUAAACGAAGUGAAAGUUAAUAUUUUAUUUUUAUUUUUAAAAUUUUUAAGUUUUUUAAAAUAUCUUAUUUUAUUGUUGAUGUUAAUGAACAAAAAUUUUAAUCGAUUUUAUUAAAAAAGAUAAGAAGAUGAAGAAAUUUAUAUAAUAUAAAAUAUAAAAUCAUUAUUAAUUAGAAUAUUAGAAAAAAAUUUAUUUAUCACUUGAGAAUGUUAUAGAAAAUUUUCAUAAUGAUUUGUACCUCAUAUUAUAUAAUAAAAAUUUAUAAAAUAUUUAUUUAUAAGAUACUUUUAUUAAUUUAAAAUGAUAAAUUAAUGUUUUGAUAAUUUUAUUUAGUAUAAUGGUAAGAGGUCAUUUCAUGAAAUGAUUAUCUAAUCUAUAAAAAAAUGUAUGUAUUUUAAAAUAAUUUUAAAUGGAUGAAGAUAAAACUUAUUUAUAAAAUUUGAAAUUCUUUUUUAUAUAUAUAUAUAUAUUUUUUAAAUUAGUGAAUUAUAACCCACUUUUUUCUCUUUUGUUGUAGCAGUGCAUGUAUGCACUAUUACGUGCCAUCCUAUUGGGAGUGGCACAUGGUGGCACAUGAGAGUUCAUCCAUCUUAAUACCACCCCAAGGGAUCUAAUUAACUGUAAGACAUUAAAUGUGAUUAGAAUCAUAUUAUUAUUAUUUUUAAGUAGGGGUCAACCUCGAGUAUAGAAAAAACACCACUAAAGAAGCUCGACUUAAAGGAUGGAUAAAAUAAGUUAAUGGCUCAACUCCACGUUUAACCAUGAAAGCACCGAACUAUAAAAACUUUACUAUGAUCAUCAUACAAAUGGUCAAAGUGUUAAAACGAAACAUAAUAAAGUUAUUAAAAGCGUCAAGUAAUUGAUACCAUUAUUAUAUUAUCUUUCCAUAAUCUAUGCACUAAGCUAGGAGCGAUAAAUAUAAGAUGAGACACCCCCACUCUACUUCCUAUUGUGUCUCUUUGCUUCGCAAUUGGCACUUUAAUGACAUUAAAAUGGGGCGAAACUCUUUUUUGUUUUUAUUAUUAUUAUUUAUUUUUUGUUUUUAAGAUCAUUAAUGUAAAUAUUCUCAUUAUAUCUCUUUAUGUAUUUAUUUCUUUUCUUUCAGAUGAAAAGGAUAAAUGAGGCAAAUAUGUUUUAUAUUGUGUAUAUCCAUUCCUAUGUAACCAUUUCCUUUUUUUUUUUGCUUUUUUUUUUUUUAUUUUUUUUCAAAUUUGGGAUAAUGUUUAGUUCUCUAAUUUUUUUUUUCAAUUUUUGAAAAAUGUUUAGCAAACAAGGUCCCCCUCUUAAAGUCUCAACCCAUUAUAUCAUUCAAUAACCUUUUUUUUCCUUCAAAUUUAUAGGCUUUCAUCAAAAUUUUAACCAAAAAAAUUAUGAAUUUUAUGAAAUUCAUAAAAAUCAAAAUCAAAAUGAAAGGGGGCUUAAGGGAUCAUCAACUUCCAAUUUCUAACAAGAAAAGACUUAGAAAUUUUUAAAUCUAUGAACAUAAAAAAGAAAGGAAAAGAAGAGUAAAGAGAAAGAGAAAAGAGGAAAGAGGCAGGAAAAGGAAAAGAAUUAGGAUUUGAUAGGUAGAAGACCAUGAAAAGCAUUUUUACUUUUACUCAUAUCAUAAAAAAUUCCUAUAUCUAGCAACUUUUUUGAUUUUAUAUUUUAUGGAGACAAAUUAUUACUAAUUUCAUAAUUAAAAGGGUUGGUGAAAAUAAAACUUAAUCAUGUUUAAGAAAAUAAAUAAUAAAGCGCCAAAUUCAAUUUUUUGAUGGGAUAAUUGUUUAAUUUAUUAUAAUAGCUCUGAUUACUCUACCAUAAGAAUUCACGCCAUAAUCCAAAGUAGUGAAAUCUAUUAUUUUGAUUGAUAUUUGACCUUGUGACUCAAGAUAAUGUUUAAAAUAUCCUUCUAGUCGGAUAAAAUGAAGAUGGUUGAGACUAAGAUGGCACAAGGGUAGGUUUGUUAUGUGUCGCUGAUUUUAUCUCAUUUAUUUAAAUUUAUUUUUAUUUUCAUCUUAUUAAAAAAUUUAAACAAGAUGGAGUUGCCUGGUCCCAUUUAAUUUAAAUUCUUUUAAUUACAUUAAAAAAUAUUAUGAUUUUUUAUAAUUUUAAAUAAGCAGUUUUUUAUUAUAAUAUGAGAUAAAAAUGGAAAUAAAAAUUAAAUUUAAAAUAUAUUUUUUAAUUUAAUUAUAUAUAAUAAGGGGAGAUAGGACAAGGCAUGACAUGAAGGUUUCCAAAAAAUUAAAAACUCACUUAUAACUCAUUCCUUUUCAUCCCAAACCUGUCCUUGAGAUGAGGUAGUACCCUAUUACCAUCCUAGUUGGGGCUUAUAUAUGUUUUGUUUUUUUUUUUUCCUCAAAAAUUGAUUCAAAGAGUAAUGAAAGAGUAUAAUGUCUUGUUGGAAGUUGGAACCAGGCUCUUUUACAGAGAAGAUGAUUUUUUUUUUGGUUAUAUGCUAACUCAGAGUAAUAAAAAUCACCUUUUUCAAAAUCUUUGAAAUAAGAUGAUAAACAUGAUAGUAAUAUAAAUGAAAAAAAAAAAUACUAAUUUAAACUAACAAAAUAAUAAGAUAUAACUAUUGAAUCAUGGAUAAAUUUAAAUAAUAAAAUUAUAUUGCAUUCUAGGAUACAUAUUAUUUAAGUAUAUAUAAAAGUUAUAAAUAUCAAUACGUUUAUAUUUUAUUUUAUCUUUACCAUGAUUUUAUCUUUUAAUAUUAAUUCAAAGAUAAAUUAAAGAUAAAACAUUUUGAAAUUUCUAAAUUAUUUAUAUAAAUUAUAAAUUUAUGAUAUCAUGUUGAUAUCAUAAUACAACCCUAAUUAUACUAUGGAUCCAACUAGUAAAUCAUGACAUGAUAAUUUUUUCAAUUUAAUAAUUAAUCCAAUCAUGAAUAAAUUACUUAAAACAUUUACACUUAAAUUAUUUUUUAAAAGUCCAACUUAUUGUCUCUCCUCACAUGUCAGCUAGUCACUUCUUACUCUAGCAUGAAUAUAGAGAAAGGUAAACCUAAAAUAUAUCUGGAUCAAAGAAAGCGUAUUAGUCUUUAUUAAUUGGAAUCCAACGAUAUGUACUUAUUUUGAAUUAUUUCAAAACAAAGGCAAUGCUAAUUAUUUGUUGACUUUUACGAUGCUAAUUAUUGUCUUACAUGCCUUCUACAUUCAAGGGAACUUCCUUAUAUAUUAAGUAUAAAUUCUUUAUACAUGACAUGCAAAACCAAAUUUGAAUGUGAUAUGGAAGUAUACACAUAAAUAUUGUUUUUCUUAUCUACUUCUACAUAGGAAUAACCUUACAAAGGAAAUAGACCAUGUAACGACCCACUUACAAUCGUGUAGAUAUUGUCCAUUUUGGGCCCAAAGGGACCAUCACGGCUUUAAAACGUAUCUAUAGGGUUAGUGUUAGAAACUUUUCCCCUAUCCGAUGUGUGAUGUCACAAACAACCCCCCCCCCCA